rnacentral:rRNA from 1 species
AACGAACGCUGGCGGCAUGCCUAACACAUGCCAGUCGAACGAGACCUUCGGGUCUAGUGGCGCACGGGUGCGUAACGCGUGGGAACCUGCCCUUAGGUUCGGAAUAACUCCCCGAAAGGGGUGCUAAUACCGGAUAAUGUCUUCGGACCAAAGAUUUAUCGCCUUUGGAUGGGCCCGCGUUGGAUUAGCUAGUUGGUAGGGUAAAAGCCUACCAAGGCGACGAUCCAUAGCUGAUCUGAGAGGAUGAUCAGCCACACUGGGACUGAGACACGGCCCAGACUCCUACGGGAGGCAGCAGUGGGGAAUAUUGGACAAUGGGCGAAAGCCUGAUCCAGCAAUGCCGCGUGAGUGAUGAAGGCCUUAGGGUUGUAAAGCUCUUUUACCCGGGAUGAUAAUGACAGUACCGGGAGAAUAAGCUCCGGCUAACUCCGUG